AGAGUUUGAUCAUGGCUCAGGAUGAACGCUGGCGGCAUGCCUAACACAUGCAAGUCGAACGAAGUUACCGGAGCAGCGGACUUAGGUUCAACGCACCGACUAACUUAGUGGCGGAUGGGUGAGUAACACGUGAGCAACCAACCUUUUACUCGGGAAUAACAUGGGGAAACCCAUGCUAAUACCUGAUAUUAUCAAGAAAUGGCAUCAUAAUUUGAUGAAAGAUUUAUCGGUAAAAGACGGGCUCGCGUCCGAUUAGCUAGUUGGUAAGGUAAUGGCUUACCAAGGCCACGAUCGGUAGCCGGACUGAGAGGUCGACCGGCCACAUUGGGACUGAGAACGGCCCAGACUCCUACGGGAGGCAGCAGUGGGGAAUAUUGGGCAAUGGACGCAAGUCUGACCCAGCGAUGCCGCGUGAAGGAUGGAAGGCCCUCGGGUUGUAAACUUCUUUAGACAGGGAAGAAAGAAAUGACAUUACCUGUAGAAUAAGCCACGGCUAACUACGUGCCAGCCGCCGCGGUAAUAC
rnacentral:rRNA from 1 species